rnacentral:tRNA from 1 species
CCUGGUAGCUCAGCUGGUAAGAAAACCUGUCUGCAAUGCAGGAGACCUAGGUUCGAUUCCUGGGUCAGGA